GCGGGGGUAGCCAAGCCUGGUCAACGGCGCAGGCUUCAGGAGCCUGUCCCGUAGGGGUUCCGGGGUUCAAAUCCCCGCCCCCGCA
rnacentral:tRNA from 1 species